AAUAUGGUCUUCUAAUUAGCUUCAUUGAGCUAUCGUAAAUGCGUGAAUUUAUCUGAAUUCCGCCCUAAUGCCAGCAAGGAUAUGAAUUUUUUGCAGCUAGAUGACAAAGUUAACAAACAGAAAACUGCAUUCGCAUGAUGGACGUAGAAUUGUCAGAAAAUCAAUAAAAUGGACAGAAGGAUAUUUCGUCUGACCAUUGGUGCGGGUGGGGGACUUUAUAGCUAUUUUAGAUUCUAGUCAAUGUUACUUGUUAUAUAUCUAUAAUGAGGUGAAAAAUUUAGAAACCUCCAUGCGUAUCCAGCCAUAUUCUCACUGCAAGCACUUACUUCAGCUGUGAUGGAAGUCAAUUCCUAUCAAAAAACUGGUGAAAAGUCUUCCCAGAUGUGUGCUGUCAUGAAUGCAAAAAGGCGACCAACAUCAUAUUAAGAUAUUAAGAUUUCUCAAGUAAGUAAAUAAAUAAAAAAUAAAAAUUGUGUAAGGAGAGAAAAAAAUUUAGGGUUUUAUCACAGCUCAACUACUACCUUAAUAUAUAUAUAUAUAUUUUUACAGGUGUAAAAAUUCCCCUUUUUACGAUACAAUUAACAAAUAAUGAAAUAGACUGGUUUUGGUACUUAAAACCUUACUUAAUAGAAGAUUAGAAAUAUUUUUUGUUUUUUUCUAUAAUUAUUUUCAGUGUGCAUCUAUUUUGAUACAAACUGCAGAUAUAUUUCAUUCUGUGUGAUAUUUUGCAGUGAAGAUUUCCUCUGUGAUAGUUUAGACAGCAACACAAGCAGCAGUAACCAUAAAAAGAGAAAACUGUCUGAAAAUCAUAAAAAUUUAAACAACAACCUUCUCAAUGGAAUGAUGAGCGUGAAACAAGAAACUCGAGGAAUUUCACCCACAAACACUCCUGUUCUGUCUACAACGGAUGAUGAGUACAGUUUUGAUUUUACCGGACCGGAUGGUUCUGGGAUGUUCUUAGACUCAGCGUAUCAAUGUAUACGUUUUCAGCAAUUUCAA